UACAGAGGUCUCAAGCGUUGUUCGGAUUCAUUGGGCGUAAAGGGUGCGUAGGCGGCGCGGUAAGUCGGGUGUGAAAUUUCGAGGCUUAACUUCGAAACUGCAUUCGAUACUGCCGUGCUUGAGGACUGGAGAGGAGACUGGAAUUCAUGGUGUAGCAGUGAAAUGCGUAGAGAUCAUGAGGAAGACCAGUGGCGAAGGCGGGGUCUCUGGACAGUUCCUGACACUGAGACACGAAGGCCAGGGGAGCAAACGGG
rnacentral:rRNA from 1 species